CGAAGCGUACACGGUGGAUGCCCUGGCAGUCAGAGGCGAUGAAGGGCGUGCUAAUCUGCGAUAAGCGCCGGUAAGGUGAUAUGAACCGUUAUAACCGGCGAUACCCGAAUGGGGAAACCCAGUGUGAUUCGUCACACUAUCAUUAACUGAAUCCAUAGGUUAAUGAGGCGAACCGGGGGAACUGAAACAUCUAAGUACCCCGAGGAAAAGAAAUCAACCGAGAUUCCCCCA
rnacentral:rRNA from 1 species